rnacentral:rRNA from 1 species
CACGUAGGGUCCGAGCGUUGUCCGGAAUUACUGGGCGUAAAGCGUGCGCAGGCGGUUUUGUAAGUCAGAUGUGAAAUCCCCGGGCUUAACCUGGGAACUGCGUUUGAAACUACAAGGCUAGAGUGUGGCAGAGGGGGGUGGAAUUCCACGUGUAGCAGUGAAAUGCGUAGAGAUGUGGAGGAACACCGAUGGCGAAGGCAGCCCCCUGGGUUAACACUGACGCUCAGGCACGAAAGCGUGGGGAGCAAACAGG